ACCCCUCUGUAUCCGUACUGAGACUUCGUUACAUACCAGACAACAAGGGCUGAUGAGACUCACAAGUAAAGAGGU
rfam:Schistosoma margrebowiei strain Zambia genome assembly, scaffold: SMRZ_scaffold0002491